AGGCAAGCCAGUCCCAUCCUUCCCAGCAACUGGGACUUUCCGGGCAGGGCUCCCCAGCGCGGGUUCAGCUAAUUAAGGAAGCAAUUAGCCUCCCCUGAGGCUAUUCAUGCUUCCUCACCCACAGUUCUCAGGUUCUGUGAGACCAGAGCCUCAGUCUCCCGUGAGCAGAGGGUGUGUGUGUGGCUGCCACUAUUCUGCAGACACGCUGGCUCCACCCCAGAGAGUUGCAGGGCCAGGAAAUCUGCAUUUAAACAGACCCUGGCUCUCACACUUCGGAAACUGCCCGAAGCACCUCUCAAAUAUGGGACAGGUGCUUAGGCCGAAAAUCAGGAAUCUCUUGAAUGAAUGCAUGAAGGUGGAGCCCUUUCCCUUAAUGCGCAGGUGAAAAGGGCACCUCGGUGGAUUCUACUAAAUUUAAUAGAAGACCCAAGACGGGGUGGGGGAGACGUGCUUUGUGCUCACCUGGCUGGUUCAUGGGCAGGUGGCCUGGAGGACCCAGCCCUGGCAGCUGUGGGGUAGCUCCAGCCUGGGCCGGACAGCUUCUUUCAUCGCAGGCACCACUGCGGACAUUGCUGGGAGGAAGAGGAGGGAGAAGCGACGGGCUUCAUUAGGAACGGAAAUGCCAAGAUUAGUGAAAGAAUGAAAAGAGUCAAAACAGCCUAGAAAAGGCUUCAAUGAUCCUCAAACUGGAUGAUCGAAUCCCGAAUAAUUGGGAAUCAACAGUAAAGGCCAAAGCUUUCGAUGGAUUGGACGAGGCGCGUCCACCCUGGGGAGGGCCAUCAUUUUAUUCAGUCUACUGAUGCAAAUGCUUAUCUCUUCUGGAAACACCUUCACAGACAGACCCAGAAUAUAGUUGAACCAAAUACUGGGCACCUCAUGGCUCCAACAGGUUGACACAAAAAAUGAACCAUUGCAGAAAACGAAGAACAGUCACCAACUCCCACCCAUGCAGCUGGCUCAUUUGCUGGGCUGCCCUCCCCAGCAGGUGGCACAGGAAUCCCUGCCUUGGCAGGGAGGAGGCCUGGGGUGUGUGCAGGUACCCAUGGGAAGUUUCUUUGCCAUGGGGAAAGCCAGAGUCACCCCUUGCUUGAACACAAGAGUUGGAGGUUUCAGUGAGCUGAGAUUACGCUAUUGCACUCCAGCCUG
rnacentral:lncRNA from 1 species